AUGGGCAGCACUUGUAUUGAAGCUGGGGUGGAUAUCUGGAUUUGGAUUUUGGUAGAGUUUGAUACUUGGGAAGUGGUGAUGGUUCUGGUUGGGAUUGGAGUAGGAGAUGGUCUAAUGCUUGUGGUGGAAAGUGAGGUUGGAGAUGGUGUGACGGUUGUGGUGGAGAUUGGGGUAGGAGAUGGUUUGACGGUUGUAGUGGAGACUGGGGUAGGAGAUGGUUUGACGGUUGUAGUGGAGACUGGGGGUGGAGUUGGUGUAAUGGUUGUGGUAGAGACUGGGGGUGGAGUUGGUGUAAUGGUUGUGGUAACGACUGCACUAACCGGGGUGACAGUUGUGGUCAGACAAGCUUCUGGAAUUGUGCUGAGAUUUGGAACAGCAGUUGUGGUGGUAGUUUGUGUAGGGGCCAGAGUAGCUGUUGGAUUGAUGGUUGUGGUUAGGGCGGGUGUAGCAUUUGUGAUAACUGGUGUAAGUGCUGGUGUAGCGGGUGGUGUACUGGUUUUUGUUGGUACUGGUUGGUUUGUUACAGUUGGUGUAGGUGCUAGUGUAGCUGCUGUUUUGGUAAUUGGCAUGGGUGCUGGUGUAGUUGUUGUUGGGGUAGUUGUGUUUGGUGAGGGACAUGUGAUUUUGGUAGAAGUUGGUAUUGAGGUUUUAGCAGGAGCUCCUGUGACAACUGUGGUCGGGGCCAGAGUCAGGUUAUUGACGAGCCUGGUUGAAGCUGGGGUGGGAAGACUUGCAGUCGAGGUUGUGUUGGAGCUAGUAAGUAAUGGUACGUGGGCUGUGACAGUUAGCAGAGAAGCGGAUGGUUUAACGAGUAUUUGGUCUGGAGUGGGGGUGACUGCUGAAGUAGAGGCUGAUGUGGCAUUUUGGGAUAUUUGGGCAGAAUUUGUUCUAGGGAUAGUGAUUUGGGCGAGGGGAAGAGUGGUAAUCUUGUUGGCAGUAGGGGAGAAGAUUUCUGUGGUAGUUGUUAUGGAGAUUGGAGGCGAAGUGGUGACCCUGGGCCUUGAGGUAAGGAACUGGGCCAGCGUUGAGGUGAGAACUGCAGUUGGAAUUCGAAUGUGA
rnacentral:lncRNA from 1 species